UACGGGGGGGGUAAGCGUUGUUCGGAAUUACUGGGCGUAAAGGGCUCGUAGGCGGCCAACUAAGUCAGACGUGAAAUCCCUCAGCUUAACUGGGGAACUGCGUCUGAUACUGGAUGGCUUGGAUUCGGGAGAGGAAUGCGGAAUUCCAGGUGUAGCGGUGAAAUGCGUAGAUAUCUGGAGGAACACCGGUGGCGAAGGCGGCAUCCUGGACCAACACUGACGCUGAGGAGCGAAAGCCAGGGGAGCGAACGGG
rnacentral:rRNA from 1 species